rnacentral:lncRNA from 1 species
GCCGCGCCGAAAGGCCGCCCGCGCGCGCGAGCUGCGCCUUAUAUCCGCGGAGGGCGGCGCCUGCGCAGGGCCCGGCGCGGCGGCCCGGCCUUUGAAGUCCCGGCGGCUGCCGCUUUCAUCCUUUCUUUUUUCCCUUGCAGGCCCCUUUGUGUGACUAAAUUUGGCAAGAAUAUGGAUCCGAGCCAGUCUUUCCACGUGUGCUCCCAGCUCCCAGCUGAGAAGGCCAAGGGUUCUCUUCCGGGAGAACCAGUUUGGCUAUUAAGGGAACCUCUCAGCACAGUGCAGAGCAAGAGAAAAAGCAAGAUUUCAGAGAGAAUAGCUGUUUACCAUCAAAGCGAACUGGGUUCCACACAGACAUGGUAUAUUAUACACAGAAACGAAGUGUCACCUGGGUUUUACAUCAUUGUGAGCUCCCUCCUCCAGGGCACAGCUGAGUUUCUUGGGUGAGAGGAGGAAAAUCCCACACGGCCAUCUGUGCUACCCAUUGCAAGAAACCAAGGAUUUCAAGUCAUCUCUUGAAUCUUCCGUGUGACGGUUUCUCCCAUAACGGCUCCUUGAAGAUCAAAGGCCACCAGACAUUUUACCAUACAGCCAACUUUCAAUGAGAAAAUGGAGACUUGGAGGAGUAAUUUGCCCAAGAUCAUGCUGUGGGGCAGGGAUCUGAAUCCAGACAGUCUGACUCCAAAACCCAACUUCGUAACCACCAAAAUCAGCUUGGAGAAGCCAAGUCCACGUAGCCAAAUCGGGAUCAGGCCGUUUCCUCAGAACGGGGUCUGCCUCAACAAGAAGAGCAGGUCUCUCAUUUGUUGGGACAAACCUGGUUAUGGAACCAGGUUCUUUUGCCUGAUGUGCAGCAAACCAAAUGCUGAGAUGCUGAGGUUUACAGAAGAGAAAAGGUUUAUUCACAAGGCACCCAAGCGAGGCGAUGGGAGGACAAGUUUCAGAUCUGCUUCCUUGAAGAUUCUCUCUGGCUGGACAGGGGCAAUAGGACUGUGGACAGAAUAACACAUGUCAUGUCCAGGGUGAGUCACUUAAAAGCCAGAGUGCCUUCCCCUCUCCUUCUCUUUCCCACCCAGCAGCCCUCGAAGCCGUGUGUGGAUCAAACACGUUGCGAAGUGACAAGAGCCAGGAGUGCUGAGUUUCGAGGAGGACGUGAGUCCCUGCCAACCGACUUUGGAAUUGCUGUGAGUGAGACACAAGCUUUCACUGUGUGAAACCCUGUGACUUGGGGGUUCAUCUUUUACCACAGCAUUGUCUAGCCUGACCAGAUUCAUUUGCAUAAGAAAAUCUCCACUGCCUUCAGAAUAUAAAGUAUAUUUCUGUAAACGUUGCAGAAAGCUAGUAUCUUGAUAAGAUAUAGAAAUUCUUCCACUCUUUCCUCUUACUGCAGUUCUUUCACUCCUUCUCUACCUUAAUGGGUUGGAGUUUGUCAUCAAGUCAGUCAGUCAACCAGGAUGCAGAUGUGAGUUUCCUUGUGGAAACAGGUGCCAGCAAAUAUUGCGUACCCCACCCGGAAGUACUGUGCCAAGUUAAAUCUAACCGAGGUCUUUUAGGUCGUUUCUGCCCACAUGAACCCAGGGUCGCUGAGUAUUAUUCCUUCAGCCCCAUCCACGCGAAAAGCUUCUUGGGUGAAGACAUGGAAUGCAGUUCAGCCCCAGGAUAUAUUCCUGCAAGGAGGAGUGCCAUGUACGACAGAUCAGAGACGGUAGGUGACAUGAUUUUGCACUCACGCCUAUUCCCUGCCUGCUCCUGUCCCAUCCUGUUCUAAACACCAGCAUCGCCUUGAAAUUCCCUUAAGCAAACUGAGACGCCAUAAGAAUCUCUACUGGUAUUGAUCCCAAUGCUGCAUAGUUUCUCUCCUGAACACUUUUUACCCAUAUUUAUACACAGGUAUGCAUAUCGGUAUGCAUGUAUAUACAUAAAUGCUUCUUAUAAUGAGUUUCUUCAUCAUGAAAGAUGAAUUAAUCACUUCAUUGACCUUACUAUAUAAUUUGCUGCAACGUACAGGAUUUACCAGACAACACCUACCACCUUAUAACAUCAGGACUUGCCCUUUGAGUCUAUAUUAAAUGAAUGCUUUCUUUGCCUUUAAGCAGUCAUAAUAAAUCAUACUGCACAAUUAAAUAGCUAUCACUCUUUAAUUAAGGAGUCAUCUUCUCCACUUCACCUGAUCUUGCCCAGUUUCCAGCAUGACCUGGUGCUUAAAGCUCAAGGAGAAAGUAAUUCAUAUUAUAAAUGUAUAACAGGGAAGUUCCCUUGUGUCGCAGCAGGUUAAGGAUCCACUGUUGCCACAAUAGUGGCGCAGGUGGUUACUGCAGUGCAGUUUUGAUCCCUGGCCCACGAACUUUCAUGUGCCAUGGGUGCAGCCAAAAAUAAAUAAAUAAACGAAAACGUAUAACAGACCAUUCAUGAGCUAAUCCUUGAAGAUAUUUUUCUCCAAUCAAAAGUUAUUUAGGAAUUUCCCUGGAGUUCCCAUCGUGGCAUGGUGGAAAUGAAUCUGACUAGUAUCACUGAAGGUGUAGGUUCGAUCCCUGGCCUCACUCAGUGGGUUAAGGAUCCGGUGUUUCUGUAAGCUGUGGCAUAGGUUGCAGACAUGGCUCGGAUCUGGCAUUGCUAUGGCUGUGGGGGUAGGCUGGCAGCUACAGUUCCAAUUCAACCCCCAGCCUGGGAACCUCCAUAUGCCUUAGGUGCAGCCCUAAAAAAUAAAAAUAAAAAUAAAAAUUAAAAAAAAA